rnacentral:rRNA from 1 species
GAUGAACGCUAGCUACAGGCUUAACACAUGCAAGUCGAGGGGAAACGAUAGAGAAAGCUUGCUUUUUCUAGGCGUCGACCGGCGCACGGGUGAGUAACGCGUAUCCAACCUGCCCACCACUUGGGGAUAACCUUGCGAAAGUAAGACUAAUACCCAAUGACGUCUCUAGAAGACAUCUGAAAGGGAUUAAAGAUUUAUCGGUGAUGGAUGGGGAUGCGUCUGAUUAGCUUGUUGGCGGGUAACGGCCCACCAAGGCUACGAUCAGUAGGGGUUCUGAGAGGAAGGUCCCCCCANAUUGGAACUGAGACACGGUCCAAACUCCUACGGGAGGCAGCAGUGAGGAAUAUUGGUCAAUGGGCGAGAGCCUGAACCAGCCAAGUAGCGUGCAGGAUGACGGCCCUAUGGGUUGUAAACUGCUUUAUAAGGGAAUAAGUGAGCCUCGUGAGGCUUUUUGCAUGUACCUUAUGAAUAAGGACCGGCUAAUUCCGUGCCAG